UACGUAGGGCGCAAGCGUUGUCCGGAAUUAUUGGGCGUAAAGAGCUCGUAGGCGGCCUGUUGCGUCCGCUGUGAAAUCCCGGGGCUUAACCCCGGGCGUGCAGUGGAUACGGGCAGACUGGAGGCAGGCAGGGGAGAACGGAAUUCCCGGUGUAGCGGUGAAAUGCGCAGAUAUCGGGAGGAACACCGGUGGCGAAGGCGGUUCUCUGGGCCUGUACUGACGCUGAGGAGCGAAAGCGUGGGGAGCGAACAGG
rnacentral:rRNA from 1 species